UCGUCCGCCUGUUGAGGGCAGAUGAAGUGAAUGUGCGUAUCGAACCCACCAGCAGUCACGAUCUUGUUCUCUCCAGCAAUCACAUCCGUCGAAGAGCCAAUGACCAUACCCGGCGUCACGCCGUCCAUGAUGUCCGGGUUUCCAGCUUUGCCGAUACCAACGAUAAGCCCUUCCCUGAUACCAAUAUCGGCCUUGAAGAUGCCAGUCCAGUCGAUGAUCAGCGCGUUCGUAACAACCGUAUCCAGACACUCCGUGGUGGACUUGUCCGAAGACUGGCCCAUCCCAUCCCGA
rnacentral:sRNA from 1 species